rnacentral:rRNA from 1 species
GCGGGUAUCGACCCCUGCUGUGUCGUAGCUAACGCGUUAAGUCUUUCGCCUGGGGAGUACGGCCGCAAGGCUAAAACUCAAAGAAAUUGACGGGGGCCCGCACAAGCGGUGGAGCAUGUGGUUUAAUUCGAUGCAACGCGCAGAACCUCACCUGGGCUUGAAAUCCUCGGACCGCUAUAGAGAUAUAGUUUUCCACUUCGGUGGACUGAGUGACAGGUGCUGCAUGGCUGUCGUCAGCUCGUGUCGUGAGAUGUCAGGUUAAGUCCUAUAACGAGCGCAACCCUUGUUGCUAGUUGCCAGCAUUCAGUUGGGCACUCUAGUGAGACUGCCGGUGUCAAACCGGAGGAGGGUGGGGAUGACGUCAAGUCCUCAUGGCCCUUAUGCCCAGGGCUACACACGUGCUACAAUGAUCGGUACAAAGAGCAGCCAACUCGCGAGAGUGCGCAAAUCUCAAAAAACCGACCUCAGUACGGAUUGGAGUCUGCAACUCGACUCCAUGAAGGUGGAAUCGCUAGUAAUCGUAGAUCAGCAUGCUACGGUGAAUACGUUCCCGGGCCUUGUACACACCGCCCGUCACACCAUGGGAGUUGACUACUCCAGAAGUCGUUGAGCUAACCCGCAAGGGAGGCAGGCGCCCAAGGAGUGGUUGGUAACUGGGGUGAAGUCGUAACAAGGUAGCCG